UUUCUGAGCCUGACCAACGCAUCAAGCACCUUAUGUGGUGAAACUGGUUUUCACUGACCUCUUCAUGGAGUCUGGUGUCCGAGUGAUGAACCAAGGGCUGGGAUGCCUCAGCAGACUGCACUUUUGGCUUCCAGUUAACCAGGGUGGUGAGACAGAAAUUUACAUUUGGUGCUGGCUUGGAGUAAUCUAAUGAAUAACCACCAGUCUGGGGGAUCCUCCUGCCCAGGUAUCCCUGGAAAAGCACAGGACAUAUGGCGACACAUCUCCUGACAGGGUCAGGCAUCAAGGUGGAAGGAGGACACCGGGCAGUAUGACCAGGCAGCCACGCAGCAG